AUUGAACGCUGGCGGCAGGCCUAACACAUGCAAGUCGAGCGAGCGGCGGACGGGUGAGGAAUGUAUGGGGACUGCCCGAUAGAGGGGGAUAACUACUGGAAACGGUAGCUAAUACCGCAUACUAUCGGAUAACCCAUAUGGGAUUAGCUAGUAGGUGAGGUAAUGGCUCACCUAGGCGACGAUCCCUAGCUGGUCUGAUAGGAUGAUCAGCCCCACUGGGACUGAGACACGGCCCAGACUCUCGGGGAGGAAGCAGUGGGGAAUAUUGCACAAUGGGCGAACGCCUGAUACAGCCAUGCCGCGGGUAUGAAGAAGGCCCUAGGGUUGUAAAGUACUUUCAUUCGGGAGGCGUUACCGACAGAAGAAGCACCGGCUAACUCCGUGCCAGCCGCCGCGGUAAUAC
rnacentral:rRNA from 1 species